UAGGGGUGCUGCUUUAUUUGUUAGAUAAUUCAAUUACGAUAAAGCAGCACCUUUGA
rnacentral:precursor_RNA from 1 species